GGCUAGAAUAAGAAAAAGCAAACAACAACAAAACCCUCUCCUGUUUUAAUGACAGUUUAGCAGUACCAAAGCUCAUCGCUCGCAUUCCCCCUCUCCCUCUCCUUCUCAAAGGUCUCUGCUGCAACCCCUCCAUCAUUCCAACCUCCACACUGCGCCGGCGCCCCACACCAGCUCCAUCACAAACAAUGCCCAGACCAACAAGAUCAGCACCAAACGCAUAGGGCACAGAAAUCGGAAACGGAUCUUCCUAUAUCUAAAGGGGGCGGGGAACGCUCCCCACGAUCACCCCCUCCCCAUACUGAGGUAGCUUGGGACUGUGUCUCUACGUAAUUGGUGCUAGAUCACUUAAAUUACAACACUGGCUGAAAAUCCUUCCUACACUAAUGAAGAUUUGGACAAUCCCUAUGGUGUCUCCUUCAGGUUUGGCUGAGGGAAGACCAGAAGGGAGUAGGAAUUUAAAGUGCUCGUCUUUCAUAUUCAAGAAAGGAAAAUACUUUUUUAGCUCAAGUCCGGAGUCGUGAACAAAUAACCACCAUUAUUUAGAGAUAACUUCUCGUCGGUGCAGCAGCUCUGAAAAUCAGCCAAUCAGCGAUAGCCUCACUCCGGUAACUAUGCUUCUUAGUAAAUCAAUGACAACCCCACGCUUCUGAAAGUCAGCCAAUCAGUGACCGCUCUAAGCCUCCGACAAUAGCCAAUCAACAAGUGCCUGACACCAGCGACCAGGCUUCCGAAAGUCAGUGGGUACUCAGCUGCCGCACUCCACUUCUGAUUCGGAAAGACAGCCAAUCCCUGAAGGCGAAUAUUUCCAAAACCAUUUUUUUUUCUUUCCCAGACUGAGUCUCAUUCUGUCGCCCAGGCUGGAGUGCAGUGGCGCGAUCUCGGCUCACUGCAACCUCUGCCUCCCGGUUCAAGCGAUUCUCCUACCUCAGCCUACCGAGUAGCUGGGAUUACAGGCUCCCGCCACCACGCCUGGCUCAUUUUUGUAUUUUUAGUAGAGACGGGUUUUGCCAUGUUGGCCAGACUGGUCUCAAACUCCUGACCUCAGUUGAUCCGCCUGCCUUGGCCUCCCAAAGUGCUGGGAUUACAGGCCUGAGCCAUCGCGCCCGGCCUUUUUUUUCUUUUUCUCCUUUUUUUUUGGAGACAGAGUCGCACUCUGUUGCUCAGGCUGGAGUGCAGUGGCGUGAUCUCAGAUCACUGCAACCUCUGCCUCCUGGUUCAAGCGAUUCUUGUGCCUCAGCUUCCCAAGUAGCUGGGAUUACAGGCCUGUGCCACCAAGCCUGGCUAAUUUUUUGUAUUUUUAGUAGAGACAGAGUUUCGCCAUGUUGGCCAGGCUGGUCUUGAACUCCUGGCCUCAAGUGAAUCGCCAGCCUUGGCCUCCCAAAGUGCUGGUAUUACAGGCGUGAGCCGCGCCCGGCCUUCAAAACCUUUUAUAAGAUCAGCUCUGGCUUUGUUCAGAGAGGCUGUACCUUACAAGUACCGCUCUCCCUUGCAAGCAGAGAAGAAAUUCACUUUUUUUUUGCAUCAGAUAUUGAGUUCAAUUUAUUGUUUUGUCCGAGUUCAAAGUUCACAGCUCAAGAUUCAAUUCCCAGUUACUAUUUGGUAUGAGUUUGGACUUAUGACAGACGCUAUGACACCGUCAUGAGAUUUAUCAAAUACAACUCUUUCAAUUCUUUCUAUGCUUGCAGUGAUCAAUUUUUUAGCUCAAGUCCAGAGUCAUGAACAAGUAACCACCAUUAUUUAGAGAUAACUUCCCAUCGGUGCAAAAGCUCUGAAAAUCAGCUCUAAAAACAAUUCAACGGGGCUACACGUGGUGGUGCACGCCUGCAGUCCCAGCAAUUUGGGAGACUAAGACAAGUGGAUUUCUU
ensembl:lncRNA novel transcript